GCGGAGCUUUGGCCGAGGGGCUCGUCAGUGAGAGCAGCUUCGCGGGUCCACACAGUGCUGGAGAACGAACCCAAGGCCUUGCAGCUCCUUCCAGUGUGGAACCUGAAGCAUGUUUGUCAGGAAAUGGGCACAGUGGCAGGGAGGCACACAAUCCGCAAGCUGGCAGAAGCAGCUAUCCAACCAAAGCGUGAUGGAGUAGCCCAGGGCAAAAGCUGAAUCAUGUGGUAAUUGCUCAAUGAAAACAAGCUAGAAGAUAAGCAAGUUGGUUUUUUUUUAGUAGAAUUCAUCAUCUGUCUUCAGUAAAGUGUCUUUUUUUUUUCUAUUGAACCUAGGACCCCACUUCUUUUUAGAUUUUUAAAUUUUGAGACAGGCUUUCACUGAGUUGCUGAACUGCCCAUGUUGGACUUGAAUUUGUUAACACUUCUGCCUCAGCCUCGUGGAGUGGUGGGAUUACAUUUGUGCAACACCGCGCCCAGCUAUGGUUCUCUCUCUAAGUCGCAAUAUUGGACUAUGUUCUUGGAAUGCAAACUCAUCUUGAACUCUGAAUUACUGGAGUUCAAGAGUAAUUCAAGUACUGAACUACUAGAAAGGCUGUCUGCCUUGCUUGUACAGACACCCAUAGUACCAUUGACUACUUGCCGCUUCCUUUGCCUGUUAGCUUUCCAAUUAAAUCUAGCCUGCAAUUUGUGAUACUGUACUUACCCAUUUUCCUUCCUGCUCUGCUCAAAGUCUGAAUAAUUCAACAAUCUCUUGCUUAGCACCACACAUCUAAAAUUCAUUCUACAAAAUUUAACCUCAUCCUAGCAAACUCUAUUGUUUCCCCUGAAAACGUUGUCAUAGUGUCAGAUAAACCUAGAACAUGCCAGGUUCUUUUUAUACCAACGUAACUGCCAACCUAGUCACUGCCUAGCAUUCAACAACUUUAAGAAGAGAUUGCUCUUUGCUUGUCUUUAAUGGAAGAGACUGACAUGAACAUUUCUUCUUGGGCUUGCAUUAAAAAAUAAAGUCUAUUGAGAGGUAUCAGAUGAGGACCUAUUUAGAUUGGAAGUAGAGAGAAUGAAUAGCUUUUAUGAAUUGGAGAAAUGAAUUCUUAGUUUGGUUAAAAGCAUAUUCUACACCUUAUUUCCUGUUCAAUAAGUGGAGCAUUUUCAUGGAAAUAAGCCAAAGGUUUUAUGAAAAGUCUCUUACUUUUUCCAUCUGUUAGGAACAUUUGUCAAAUAUAAAUUAAAAGUAAAUCUCUACAAAAAUUGUAUGUUCUCACUCUGCUGUUGGGAGUUCAAUUUUAUAGCUUUUUAUUGUGAGUCUUAGCUGAGUUUGUAUCAGAUGAAAUCUUAUAAAUAGAGUCAUUUUUCAAACAAAAAUAACUUGAUCUUUUUGUAUUGUAAAUAAAUUUCAGCUUUAAAUGAAGAAUUUGAAGUUUUGAAAUGUUAACUAUUUGUAAUCACUUUACAGUUUCUGCCAUGAUAUGUCUAUCGUCCUAAAAUCUUCCAAGUAUUCAUCACAAAUCUGACAUUUUAUGAAACAACCUGGCUUUUCUAUGUAGUUUUUGGAUAACUCACUUAGUCUCUACAUUGUUAUCAUGUUCUAGCCUAAAAGAAAAAAGAGCUAAGGUCACUUGAACAAAUACUUGACUAAGAAAUCAUAUCCAUUUGAGUCCUCAAAAGUUUAAUCAUGCACAAUUACAUCUCCUGUAGUAAUAUGAUAUGCACAUGUAAAAGGAAGGAGCAACUUCUGGUUUUUUUUGUGCAGCUACAUUAAGGUAAUAUUUUCUACUUAAUCUAUCUAGAAGCACCUACAGAGUUGGAAAGCUGUGGUUGGAGGAAGCAAGGGGAAUUGUAGAGAUGAUAUCUCCAUAUUAUUUUGGAUGACUUGCUAAGGUGCAGUUUUGUUUUUGGUUUGUUUUGGUUUUUUGGUUUUGGUUUUUUUUGUGGUACCGGGGAUUGAACUCAGGACCUUGCGCUUGCCGGGCAGGCAUGGUGCCACUGAGCUACAUCCCUGGCCCCCAAGAUGCAGUUUUGAAUAAACUUCAUUGUAAAGUACUUAUUUAGUGUGAAGCUUAAAUCAUGAAAAAUACACAAGGGAGCCAAGUUAGUUGAGUAAUAAUUUUAUAGAAAUUGAUGUAUUUAUUAAAUAUGCUUAAGGGUAAUAGAAACCAGUUAACAUCCUACUCUACUUCUUUCUUUCUUUCUCUCUUUCUUUCUUUCUUUCUUUCUCUCUUUCCUUCUUUCUUUCUGGAUUGUCAUCAGCUUUCUCAUUCCUUUAAAUUGUUGUUUGCUAUUGCCU